AACGAACGCUGGCGGCAAGCCUAACACAUGCAAGUCGAACGCACCGCAAGGUGAGUGGCGCACGGGUGAGUAACACGUGGGAAUGUAUCCUUUGGUUCGGAAUAACGUCUGGAAACGGACGCUAAUACCGGAUGAGCCCGUAGGGGGAAAGAUUUAUCGGGGAUGGAUGAGCCCGCGUUGGAUUAGCUAGUUGGUGGGGUAAAGGCCUACCAAGGCGACGAUCCAUAGCUGGUCUGAGAGGAUGAUCAGCCACAUUGGGACUGAGACACGGCCCAAACUCCUACGGGAGGCAGCAGUGGGGAAUAUUGGACAAUGGGCGCAAGCCUGAUCCAGCCAUGCCGCGUGAGUGAUGAAGGCCUUAGGGUUGUAAAGCUCUUUCACCGAUGAAGAUAAUGACGGUAGUCGGAGAAGAAGCCCCGGCUAACUUCGUGCCAGCAGCCGCCGUAAAAC
rnacentral:rRNA from 1 species